GAAAGUUUAAAUUUGAUGGUUUAAGGAAAGGAUGGGAGGAUAGAAAUGGAAGAUAGUGUAUACAUUGGUCGUCUCUUAAAAAUAAUAAUCCAAACUGGAAACAACUCAACUAUCCCAUCAACAGUAGAGAUGAUGUCUUGCCACAUUGCCCAGGCUGGUCUCAAACUCCAGGCCUAAAGGGAUCUUCUGACUUUGGCCUCCCAAAGUGCUGAGAUUAUAGGAUCGAGGCUAUCAAGCUACAGAUGAUCUUACAAAUGGAACCCCAAAUGAGCUCAACUAACAACUACCAAGGACCCCUGGACCAACCCGCUGGCCCUUUCAAUGGCCUAAAGAGUUCCCCUCUGGAGGACACUACAACUGCAGGGUCCUUUCUUUGCCCCUAUCCAGCAGGAAGUAGCUAGAGUGGUCAUCACCCAAUUCCCAACAGCAGUUGGGGUGUCUUGUUAAGUGGGGAGAUUGAGAGGUGAAGCCAGCUGGGCUUCUGGGUUGGGUGGGGACUUGGAGAACUUUUCUGUCUAGCUAGAGGAUUGUAAACACACCAAUCAGUGCUAUGUGUCUAGCUAGAGGUUUGUAAAUGCACCAAUCAGCACUCUGUAAAAACGGACCAAUCAGCACUCUGUAAAAUGGACCAAUCAGUAGGAUGCGGGCAGGGCCAAAUAAGGGAAUAAAAGCUGGCCACCUGAGUCAGCAGUGGCAACCCACUCGGGUCCCCUUCCAUGCUGUGGAAGCUUUGUUCUUUCACUCUUCACAAUAAAUCUUGCUGCUGCUCACUCUUUGGGUCCACACCACCUUUAUGAGCUGCAACACUCACUGCGAAGGUCUUCAGCUUCACUCCUGAAGUCAGCGAGACCACGAACCCAUGGGGAGGAACAAUCGACUUCAGACAUGCCACCUUUAAGAGCUGUAACACUCACUGCGAAGGUCUGUGGCUUCACUCCUGAAGUCAGCAAGACCACGAACCCACUGGAAGGAAGAAAUUUCGGACACAUCUGAACAUCUGAAUGAACAAACUCUGGACACGCCAUCUUUAAGAACUGUAACACUCACUGUGAGGGUUCAUGGGUUCAUUCUUGAAGUCAGCAAGACCAAGAACCCACCAGAAGGAACCAAUUCCGGACACAGACUCACUGCAACCUCCACCUCCUGGAUUCAAGUGAUUCUCCUGCCUCAGCCUCCGGAGUAGCUGUGCCUACAGGCACAAGCCACCACACACGGCUAAUUUUUUGUAUUUUUAGUAGAGAUGGGGUUUCACCAUGUUGCUCAGGCUGGUCUCCAACUCCUGAGCUCAAGUGAUCCACCUGUCUCGGCCUCCCAAAGUGUUGGGAUACAUGUGUGAGCCACUGUGCCCGGCCUCCUCUGGAUUAGUUCUUACAGGAAUAGAUUAGUUCUUGCUCGAGCAAGUUGUUAUAAAAGUGAGGUUGCCUCUAGUGUUUUGCAUCCUCACAUAUGUCUGCUUACCUCUUGACCUCUCUCUGUGUUAUGACCCAGCACAAAAGCCCUUACCAGAAGCCAAGCAGAUGCUGAUGCCACACCCCUUGGACUUCUCAGUCUACAGAGCCAUGAAACGAAUAAACCUCUCUUUAUAAAUUAUCCAGCUUCAGGUAUU
rnacentral:lncRNA from 1 species